UACAUGUGGGGCAAGCGUUGUUCGGAAUUACUGGGCGUAAAGCGUGCGCAGGCGGCUUUGCAAGACAGAUGUGAAAUCCCCGGGCUCAACCUGGGAACUGCAUUUGUGACUGCAUGGCUAGAGUGCGGCAGAGGGGGAUGGAAUUCCGCGUGUAGCAGUGAAAUGCGUAGAUAUGCGGAGGAACACCGAUGGCGAAGGCAAUCCCCUGGGCCUGCACUGACGCUCAUGCACGAAAGCGUGGGGAGCAAACAGG
rnacentral:rRNA from 1 species